AGCUCUGCAGUGCGUUAAGAACACGUCGAAUUGCAAAUUCGGAGAAGCAGCAUAACCCCUGCCAGGGCUU
rnacentral:tRNA from 1 species